CCCUUCAGUAUUAAUUCUACUUACAGAAGUACAGUGGACUCUCACAUUGCAGCUUCAGAAAUAUUGUCGAAUUGGUUCGAGUUAUGUAGCAUCACUGGUUAUCUACAAUUGCAGAACUAUUGAAAAUUUGCUUUUGGGAUAAACUUUUGUCUGCGCGCCUCUCCUGUGGUAUACGUAGCUCAUUUUUAUUUUACCAUCCUGUGGUUCGAAAAAGUCAAAAAGUUGAAUCACAGUGUAAUUUAAGUAUAAUUUUUUGAAUCACCAGGGUGGUAAAGUGAAAAUGAGAUAAACCCCGGGAUGCAGAGUAAAGUUUACAUUUUUCUUUUUUUCAGAACUAUUCUCCUUUGAAACAGUUGCAAUCAUAAACAAAAGCAGUAAUGUGGACAAGUCAACACCAGGUAGUUGACUAAGGAGUCAAGUCAACGGUCAACCAACUGACCAUAUGUGCACACUACUAGAUAGGUAUACAUCUACAACUACACAAUACAUAUGUGCAUGGAUUGCUUGGGGUGGUAAAAUCUAGAGGUUGUGGGCUGCGAAGAAGGCGUCGAGAUCGGGGCCGGCGUAGAACUCCUUGCGUGGCCGCGGUGGCGGCGGAGGCGGAGACGCGACGUCACUCCGCAGCUUCCUCGGCGCGGAGGGGCACUUCGGGGCCGCCGACUCCGGAAUUCGCCUCUCCGCCGCCUUAGGCGUCCUCCACCCCUCCUCCGCCUCUCGCCACCCCUCUUCGGUCGUCGCCGAACCGCCCAUCAUCGCCUCCGCCGCCACCACCUCCUCUUCUCCAAACAAGAAGAGCUCUAGAGGGAGAGAGAGAGAGAGAGAGAGAGAGAGAGAGAGAGAGAGAGAGAGAGAGAGAGAGGGUUGGUUUGUGGAAUGGAAGUGUGUGUAUGUGUGCGGGGUAGUUUUAUUGUAGGAAUUGGAGAAAUUGGCACGUACGUACGUGGACCGCGGUCUAUAGACUUUUGUUGCAUUUGCCCCUUCAAUUUUUUUUUCACAAAUAGCCUCAUCAAAUUUAUAAUUAUAAUUUUAGCUCUACUCCUGUCACGCUGGGGAGGGGUGUUAAGUUGAACAUGGUGAAUCAUUCACCGUAUUUAAACACGAUGAAUGGUUCACCGUAUUCCAUUCUUAUAUUCUCUCUUUUCAAUACUGAUAUUUUUUUUGCAAUGCAUAUAUUUUUUAUAAAUGUACACAUCAGCGCCACCUCAACUCUUGCUCGCGUGGCGCUUAGGUGGUGACUGCAUGGCAGGGAUAUGGCAAAAAUUAUAAUUAUAAAUUUAAUAGAGUUAUUUAUAAAAAUAAUUUUUUUGAGGGGGCCAAAUGAAAAAAAUGCUAUUUUAAGUUUGAGAGCUCUGUCUAGCUCUUUCCAAAAAAAAAAAAACACUCGAGUUCUAUGAGCCUGGUCUAUAGACCGGGUCCACACAUCAAAGACGCCGCCGAAAUUGACCGAGUUGACCGAAUCUUAAUCCGUAGACACGCGGGAGGGGCGGGGAUCGUGUCGGAGCGACCCAUGCAGAUGGCGGAGCAUGCGGACGCAUUCCGUGCGGGUGUUCGAUCCGCCGUCCAUCCGGGCAUAACCUGAGCACCGACACCACCAACGGAAGGACGUGAUUGAACCGGAUGGGGUCCGCAUGCGGGAUCGUCCGGACGAUGGAGUGUGGUGGCGUCGGAGCCGCGGUUCGCAUGAAGAGGUCGUAUACAACGUUUCGGUGAACACAAUUAUUGGGUGAUUCUCUCGGAUUCGGUACAACGCCAGUUGUAUAAAAUUGAUACAACACCUUUUGUAUAUGGCAAAUUCUUGGUUUCUGAAACGAUUGUUUUAAAAAUAAACAUUAUUUUAUUCGCUUAAAUAAUUAAUUUUCCAAACUAUAAAUUCAUUUGCUUAAGUUUGGGCCACAUAACCGAAAAUUUUUAACUACUUGUAUGAGAUAUAUACUUGCUAGUUUAACGAUAUAAAAAAAUUGAAAUAUGUUAAAUUUUUUAUAGAAAAUUUUAUUUACUAUCUAGAUAAAGAUCAAUAACUUCGAUCUUAAAUUGAAGGAUCCGAUAAUCCAUUUUUAGGACGUCGUUCGAUUUGACAGUUCAUUUUAUGCCCACUUGAUAGGCUUUAUUAUGAUUUCAAAAAAUUACGAAAUUUAUUUUCUAAAAAUUUUAGAUAUUUUAGAUAAUAUUUAACGAAAUAGAACGUCGAUUCAGAAGUUCCAUAACCGAAAACAACUUAUAAGUACAAAUGGCUCUAUACUCAUAAGAGUAUAGUAGCCCUACUCUCUCUCUCUCUCUCUCUCUCUCUCUCUCUCUCUCUCUAUAUAUAUAUAUAUAUAUAUAUAUAGUCCGGCUACUAUACUCUUAUGAGUACGAUCGUCCUCGUACUCAUAAGCUAUUUUCGAUGAGAGAGCUUCCGAAUCAACGAUCCACACCAUUAAACGUUAUCUAGAGCAUUUAAAACGUCUAGAAAUCAAAUUUUAUAAUUUUUCGACAUUAUUUACCUUACGAUUAAAAGGUCACAAAAUUGAUAAUUUUUAACGGCUGGUAUGCGAUAUUUGCUAGUUUAACAGUGUAAAAAAAUCAAAAUCGGUUGAUUUUUUUAUAGAAAAUUCUAUUCACUAUAUAGAUAAAGAUCGAUAACUCUGAUCUUAAAUUGAAUGAUCCAAUCAUCUAUUUUUAAGACGUCAUUCCAUUUUGACCAUUCAUUUUAUACCUGCUUAAUGAACUUAUGAGUAUGAAGGGCUUUAUAUUCAUAAGAGUAUAGUAGCCCUAGCUAGCCUAUAUAUAUAUAUAUAUAUAUAUAUAUAUAUAUAUAUAGGUCAUGGCUACUAUACUAUUAUGAGUAUUGGAGCCCUCGUAAUCAUAAGUUGUUUUCAAUGAUGGAGCUUACCGAAUCGACGAUCCACUCCGUUAAAUAUGAUUUAGAGUAUUUGAAACUUCUAGAAAAUAAAUUUCGUAAAUUUUCGAAAUCAUAAUAAAGUCCAUCAAAUGGGCAUAAAAUGAAUGGUCAAAAUCGAACGACGUCCUAAAAAAGGAUGAUCGGAUCCUUCAAUUCAAGAUCGGAGUUAUUGAUCUUUAUCUAUGUAGUGAAUAGAAUUUUCUAUCAAAAAUUCAAUAAAUUCUGAUUCUUUUACACCGUUAAACUAGCAAGUAUUUCAUACCGGCCGUUAAAAAUUGUCGAAUUUGUGACCUCUUGAUCGUAAGGUAAAUAAUGUCAAAAAAUUAUAAAAUUUGAUUUCUAGAAGUUUUAAAUGCUGUAAAUAACGUUUAACGGUGUGGAUCAUCGAUUCAGAAGCUCUAUCAUCGAAAACAACUUAUGAGUACGAGAGCGAUCGUACUCAUAAUAGUAUAGUAGUCGGACCCUAUAAGGAGGUUAAUAAGUUGACAAGUAAAGUAAAUUGAAUUUAAGAUAAAAGUUACACCAUACGAAUGAAAGAAAAUAUAUAGAAGGAGAAAAAAUAUAUAUACAAACGACACAGAUAAUUUAUUCUAGUUCGGAUAUAAAUAUCAAUGUCAACUGAUGGGGAAUAAUACCAUGAGCACGACGAUCAGUGACAACCCAAUCAGUCAUCCUCUUCUCGUCCGGAGACUUGGUUCCGUCAGUGUAACCGGUAAGAUCGAGGGCGUCAAACAACAACUUUCACUAUAACUGAAGUAGGUUAUAGGGACAUAUUUUUAGAAUAUUUUUGCGUAAAUGUUCUAUUUAUGUCAAAACUUUUUUAAAAAAUCUACUAAAACCUAAAUAUAAAGCACAAUCCAAUCGAAAACAAAAAGUUUCUCUACUCAACCAACUCUACCCAGUCCAUUCAAUCCGAUUACAAAUAGAAAAGGAAAAAAAAAAAAUUGAUCACUAUCUCCCAUUCUCCUCCUUCACCUCCGCAGCCAACGAGGUAAAGUUCCGGCGGUUGGAGUUUGGCGGCCACGAUGAUCUUGCAAGGACUGUAGAGUAUUACGAUCGCUACGUGUCCCUCUGCCACAGGUCGCUAAAGGAGUGGGUGCCAAACAUCAAGACAGCCCAACAUAUAGUAAUAUUUUUAAAAAGUGUCAGUAAUUUAGCCAGCAGUACUUUUUUCGAUUUAUACCAAUAUUUAAAAGUGUCGUUAUGUAUUAUUUUUAUUGUAGUGUUUUUCGAAACAGACCAUUCCUUAGAAUUCACUCUUGUCAACUUGUUAUCAAGUUGUGCUACAGUAGGAAUUGAUGAGCUCAUAGUGGAUGGAGCAGAAAAAUUCGCAGCAGAUGAUGAUGUCGUCAUAGAAAUAGUCGAGUUGUAAGUUUGCUAUAGAUCUGUUGGCUUAAAUGGGCUAGUAUUCUGCCCUGUGGUGGGAGGUUAUAUGGGCCGAGUCAUGUUCGAAAUGGCGUGAGACUGGGUUGGGCGGAAUCAUAUAUGUUUGAAGUGGCGUGAGGUUGAUUGGGCCGAGUCACAAUCGAAAUCCGUGAACGUUGUAUCUGUACGCUUUAAGUGAAUUGGUUGCGUAUUUCUAACAGCUUGAGCUUUUGAGAUUAAUGGUUAAUUAGCGCCAACGAUUUGACAAGUGGUAUCAGAACUAGAGAUCACGAAUUCGAUUUCCGCAUGCUGCAAAUAUGUGCAGGUGCUGGAGAGAAAAUUGUUGACUUAAAUGGGCUAGUAUCCUGUCAUGUGGGCCGAGUCAUAUUCGAAGUGACGUGAGACUGGUUAGGCCGAGUCACAAUCAAAACUUGUGGCCGGAUACUAUAUCUGUACACUUAAAAUGAAUUAAUUAUAUAUUUGUAACAUCUUUAGUUUUUUAAAUUAAUGAUUAGCACCGACGAUCCGAUAAGAUUGAGACGUCAACUCGGAGCAAUAAAGCUAGCUAGUGGACGGAGCUAAGGCCAAGUAGUACUCUAGUCAACAGCUGGAGUGCAAUAAGGUAACUCAGGACACAGAUAAGAAUAAGGAAUCUUAGUUUGCUCUCUGAUACUAUGUAAUUAAUUAUAUGCGGAGAAGAGUAUUUCUCUUUUAUAUUAUUCUAUCAGCAAUGAAUCUCUUUGUAUAUAUAUAGAGAAUUACAUAAUUAGAGAAAAGAAAAUUACAAAAUACCUAUAAACUAAGAUACAAUAUAUAUAUGUAUAAUAUAUAUAUCAAUAUAUAUAUAUUUAACUAUAUAUUAUAUAUAUAUAUAUAUUAUAUAUGAUAUAUAUAUAGUAAAGUAGAGGGCUACUAUACUUUUAUGAGUAUAGAGCCCUUUGUACUCAUAAGUUAUUUUCAACGUUGGGGUUUUCGAAUCAACGAUCCACACUAUUACGAAUAUAAAUAUAAGUUUAAUAAAAAGUAAAAAAGAAAAAAAAGAUAUACAAUAUUGAAAACUUCUAGAAAAUAUAUAAUAUCACAACAAACAUGUAUAUAUUAAUAUAUAAUAUUAUAAUAUAUAUAUAUAAUAUAAUUAUAAUUAUAUAUAUAUAUAUAUAAUAUAAUAUAUAGCUAACAAGAUCCACGCUGCUAUUUACUAUCGGUAGCACAAGGCCUCCCGCUGCAUUGCGUGCCAUAAUGUUUGAUUCGAGUAUGCUGGGCUUCCAAAUCCGACGAUUGGACCCGUUUUAGACUGUUUGAUCUACAUCUAUUAAAAGUUUUGAAAACUAAUUUCAUAAUUUUUCGACCAUCAUUGACUAAUGAUCAAAAGCAUCUCAAAAAUUGAUAUUUUUAAUGGCACGAAUGUGCGUGUUUGUGGGUUUAACGGUGUAAAAACAAUCCAAAUCCGAGAUUGAAAAUUUUUAAUAGAAAUUUUUUUUUCACUAUUUAGAGUAAGAUUAGUACCUCUGAUCUUAAAUUCAAAUCUUUUAUCAUCAUUUUUUUAUGAGAUUUUUAUUUUCAGCCGUUGAAUUUUAGACUAUUUGUUUGAUAGGUAAAUGAUAUCGAAAAAUUAUGAAAUUUAGUUUUCAAAUACUUUUAAUAAUAUAGAUCAAGUCUAACGGAGCCGAUCGUCGAUUUGGAAGCCGCAUCAUCGAAAACAACUCGGUAGCACGGGAGGCCCCGUGCUACCGAUAGUAUAGUAGCCAGACUCUAGCUAACAAUUACUAUUACCAACAUUCAUAUAUAUAUAUAUAUAUAUAUAUAUAUAUAUAGUUAUAUGUAUCCACAUCUCUUAGACAUGCAGGGGCUUCAACACUGUGGGGAGCCCAAAUUUUGGCUGCAGCGUUAGCACGUCGUUCGGCGCAUGCACGUACUUGGGAGAGAUGGUGAACGAGAAGCGCUGCAGCAGCAUCGCGACGACGGUCUUCGCCUCCAGCAUCGCGAAGUUCUGCCCGAUGCACGACCUGGGGCCGAUCGAGAACGAAAGCAGCGCGUUCGGGUGGUUGGCGGCCCUCGAGACCCCGUUCUCGAACCUCGACGGGUCGAACUUGUCGGCGUCGGCGCCCCACACCACCUUGUCGCGGUGCAUCAUCAUGAUCGGCAUUGCGACCACGGUGCCUCUGGGGAUCUUCAGGCCCGCCAGCUCCAUGUCUUUGGCUGUUUUCCUUUGUAGUUGGACCACUGGACCGUACAGCCUCAGGGUCUCAAAGAGAACCAUUGUCACCUACAUGCAUGCAUUAUAAGGGCAUAAUCUUAAAUAUAUAUCUCUUCUAAUAUAUAUUGCUUGUUUUGGUCUCUAUACGUAUAACUUUCUAUGUAUAUACAUAGUUCAGUUCCUGAACUUCCACGUACAUAUAUAUAUAUAUAUAUAUAUAUAGAGAGAGAGAGAGAGAGAGAGAGAGAGAGAGAGAGAGAGAGAGAGCUACUAUAACAUACCAAUUUUAACUUGCUGAGCAUAUCUGCAUUAGGAACUUCAUUUCCACACUCCCUCAUCACCUCCUCCCUGAGCCUCUCCUGCCACUCAUGGUGUGUGCUCAGGAGGAACAUGGUCCAAGUUAGAAGGUGCGACGUCGUCUCGUGGCCCGCGAAGAAGAACGUCUUGCACUCGUCGAUGAUCUCGUCCAUGCUCAAUCUAGAAUCCUCUCUUUUCUCGUCACGGUGGUCCGUCGACGUGCAAGCCUCGAGCAUCAACCCCAGCAGAUCAUUCCCGUAGCCAGUUUCUUUCGUGUUGAGCCGUGAUUGUAUUAUUUGCAUCAGCAUUGUCCUCACCUUCCUUUCUAAUUCCCAUUUUUGUAGAUUCUUGCUAGUUGGAAGAUACCUACAUGAACAAGAAUGAUACCGUCAAUUCUCGGCCCACAUGUUUCAUCACACCUCACGACGAGACGAAACGUAUAAUGAUAUAUAUAUAUAUAUAUAUACAUACUCAUAAGUUGUUUUCGAUGAUGAAUCUUCCGAACCUACGAUCCACUCCGUUAAAUAUGAUCUAGAAUAUUUGAAACUUCUAGAGAAUAAAUUUCGUAAUUUUUCGAACUCAUAAUAAAGUCCAUCAAGCGGGCAUAUAUAAAAUGAACGGUCAAAAACGAACGACGUCCUAAAAUUGGAUGAUAGUAUCCUUCAAUUUAAGAUCGAAGUUAUUGGUCUUUAUCUAGGUAGUGAAUAGAAUUUUCUAUCAAAAAUUCAACUUAUUCCGAUUCUUUUCCACCGUUAAACUAGCAAGUAUCACAUACCGGCCGUUAAAAAUUGUCAAUUUUGUGAGCUUUUAAUCGUAAGGUAAAUAAUGUCGAAAAAUUAUGAAAUUUAAUUUCUAGAAGUUUUAAAUUCUCUAAAAAAUGUUUAACGGUAUGGAUCGUCGAUUCAGAAGUUUUAUCAUCGAAAACAACUUAUGAGUACGAAGGCGAUCGUACUCAUAAGAGUAUAGUAGCCGGACUCUCUCUCUCUCUCUCUCUCUCUAUAUAUAUAUAUAUAUAUAUAUAUAUAUAGUCCGGCUGGGAUACUAUCGAUAGCACAAAGCAUUUGGUGCUACCAAGUUUUCUACCGUUAGAUUUAUCUCUUUUAUUAUUUUCAACCAUUAGAUUAUACUAUUCAACCAACCACCCACUCAACCCUAGGGGGCCCACAUCAUCCUAACCGCACAUCUUUUAAUCCAAUUAAUGGUAGAAAACUUAAUAGUACCAAGUCAUUGGUACUAUUAAUAAUAUUCCAGCCUAGUUCUAUAUAUAUAUAUAGAGUCCGGCUGGGAUACUUUCGAUAACACGAGGUAUUUGGUGUUAUCAAGUUUUCUGCCGUUAGAUUUACCUCUUUUAUCAUUUUUAACCGUUCGAUUAUACUAUUCAACUAACCACCCACUCAACCCUAGAGGGCCCACAUCAUCCUAACCACACUUCUUUUAAUCCAAAGGUAGAAAACUUAAUAGCACAAAGUCAUUGGUGCUAUAUAGAGUUCAGCUAUGGUGCUUGUAAAAGCUCCAAGCACUUGGUGCUUGUGAGUUUUUUACCGUUAGAUCUACUCUUCGGAUCAUGUUCAACCAUUAGAUUAUACUAUUCAACCAACUACUCACUCAACCCUAGGGGGCCCACAUCAUCCUAACUACAUAUCUCUUAAUCCAAUGGCUAAAAACCUACAAGCACUAAUGUAUUGGUACUUUUAAAAGCAUAGGAGCUCAAUUCUAUAUAUAUAUAUUUCUGAUAUCGGUUUGCGGAAUUAACAUAUAUACACUUACUUGAACCCUGGUAUUUGGACAUUGAGAAUGUUGUUCAUGGCUAGAAUCUGAAGGUCUUUUUGUGCAAGAAAGACUUCUUUUCCUUCUUUAUAACUGCUUCCGAAAGCUGUGUGGGAGAUCACAUCGGCAGUCAACUCCUGAAACUGCAAGCUUAGAUCUACUUCUGCUUCCUUGUUCUCAUUUUGGAUCAUCUGCGUCUCCCACUCCUCCAUCAUGGAUCGAGCUAUUUGCGCCAUUUUCGUAGUCAUCAUCUAUAUAUAUACCAUGCAAAAACAUCAAUAUAUAUAUAUAUAUAUAUAAUUAGUUAGCCAAUAACAAUCACCAUAUAUAUCACAUAGUUUAAACUUUGUUGAGUACGUACCUUGAGCUUGUCCAUGGUGAAAGCAGGGUUCACCACCCUCCUGUGGCGAGCCCAAUCUUGGCCAUUUGUGAGGACCAAACCCUUCCCCAAGAGAGCUUGUAUGUUUGGGUGGGGAUCAUUUUUGGCGUAGAACCCAAACUUGUUGGAGAGCACUUGCUUCACCAUGUCAGGGUUGGUGAUUGCCAAAGUUGGUCUUGGUCCAAACCAAAACAAGAAGGUUCCUCCUGUGUGAAACAUAACAUAUAAUUUUUUUUUUUUUUAAAAAAUCACUUUUUUAUAGCUAAAGUUUUAUUAGAACCAAUCCUUAUAAGUCCCUAUCAUAUUUUGAGCUCGAUUACUGUAUCCACCAUUUUAUUACAUAUAUAGCCAUCUAUUUUUGUUAUCCUUUAGUCAGUCGACGUGACAUAGUUCACCUGAUAUAUGUAUACCCACCAUAUGCGAAUGCGUGAGCAAAAAUAUUAAGACUAAUUCUGCACCAGUUUUUGCUCAAUUAUUUUUUUGAGAUAAUUUAUUAGAAAUAAAAGUGUUAAAUAUUAGUUCAUCUGAUCGUGCGUGAGCAGAAAUAUUAAGACUAAUUGUGGACCAAUUUUUACUAGAUCGUCAGUUGACAUGAUCAUAUAGUUCAUCUGAGAUAUGUCCAUCAUGCGUGCCCAUGAGCAGAAAUGUUAAGACUAAUUCUGUACUAGUGUUUACUAGAUUGAUCUUUUAGUCAGACGUCGACAUGAUAUAGUUCAUUUGAUAUAUGUCCAUAAUAGGCGCGCUGUUUGAAGUGAAAAAAAAAAAAAAUUUUUUGAAACCGAUUAGAUUCAGACUCAAACAAUUUUUAUAGGUCUCAUGUUGACCAGAAAAUUUUGGGGCCAAUAAUUACAAUUUAAAAUCCACAAUAGGCCCAUUAAUAAAUGUGAGUGGGUGAGCCCUUACGAAAGCCCAAACAAAUAAAUAAAAAAAGUGAGGGGGGGGGCUUUAUUUCAGCCCGUUAUCAUUUGAGCCCAAUAAAUUAAGGUGGGUCUGAUCAGCGACGGCCCACACCCACACCUUAUAAAGUAUCUAGUCGAAAUCCGAUUUCAAAUCAUAAUCCAUUCAAAAUUCAAAUUUUGAAUUUUGAACCCCCAACAAAUUACCAAAAUAGCCUCCAAUAAUCCAUUCAAAAUUCGAUUUCGAAUUUCGAAUUCCUCAACCAUUUACCAAAACAUCAUCCAACAAUCUAUUCGAAAUUCGAUUUCGAAUGUUGAAUUCCCUAACCAAUUCCCAAAAUAUCAUCCAAUAAUCCAUUCAAAAUUCGAUUUCGAAUUUUGAAUUCCCUAACCAAUUCCCAAAAUAUCAUCCAAUAAUCCUUCAAAAUUCGAUUUCGAAUAUUUUGAAUUCCCCUAACUAAUUCCCAAAUAUCAUCCAACAACUCCAUUCAAAAUUCAUUUCGAAUUUUGAAAUUCUUAACACACCCUCCCUCCCAUAUAUAUAAAUACGGGAACCGAAAUCAAAUUCGGAUUUUUUUUUUGGAGAAGAGAUCGAUUCACGAUAGUAUAAUUGCUACACACCACUUCCAAGUUCAAAUAUUCAAAAGAGAAGUCCGAUGUGGACAAUCAAGCUCCGCUAGUGGCUCAUAUUUUCCAUAUUAACUAAAAAAAUUUUAGACAACAUGCCUCCAACACCUUUUUUUCUUAUUUUUUUCAAAAAAAUUUGUAUUUUUUUUUUUAUUUAUUUUGCUCGAGAAGCCAAUUGACGAUUGCCUAAUGCCAUCCCGAACCCUAAGGUGAGUUAGUAUUCCGUCUAGGCAAAGAUAUAUUUUAGGUAAAUAGAAAAUACUGGGAUUAUUUUUUAUUUUAUUUGCCGUCGAGAACAUCGAAAUUCUGGCGCAUAACCCGACCCUAAGGUGAGUUAAGCAUGUCGCGUCAAUGUUUGAUCUGCCCCCGGGGCAACGAAUGACCACCUCCACGGUCGAUGAUUUAGGCCGAUAGGUAAGCUAUUCAUGAAUUCAGAUGAGUCAUUUAUAGUAUGUGUGGUGAUCAGUAUUGGCGAGUCCAUUGACUUCGCAAUAGAUGCCAGCACUAAUGUUAGAUUACCCCUGAGAUUGGGGAAACCUUCCGAUUAAGAGACCUUUAUAUUGGCUUGGAUGAGGAUGGAGUCGUAUCUCGAUUAUUUGAAUCCUAAGUAUAAGUAUAUUAAGGAUUCAGUUGGAUCGUGAGGUUGUAUUAAGUGGCCUACAGUAUAUGUGUUAAGACCUAGAUCGAUAUUGAAAACUCUAUGUAUUAAGAGUCUAAUGGUUCUGAGAAUAUGGGUAUGAAUUGGGUAUUUGGUUCAUGGGAUUCUGGUAUUAGGUUGGAUGUAUAGUUCACAUGGAUUUUAGUCCAUAAAUUUGUGUAUGGUUUAGUGGGGUUUGGUCCAUCGAGACUUUAGUUGUGUCAUGGAUUUGGUCCAUGAGGGUUUGGUUUGGCUCUGGGAUUUGGUCCAUAGAGAAUUAGUUAGUUCAUUGAAAUUUGGUCCAUGGAGGUUGAUUUUGGCUCCAUGGAUUUGGUCCAUGAGAUUUGGUUUUGGUCUGGCUUUGGUCCCCAUGAGGUUUGUUUUGGUCUAUGGAUUUGUCCAUGAACUUGGUUAUUUGGCUCAUAGAAUUUGGUCCAUGAGUUUGGUUCUUGGCUGCAUGGAAUUGGUCAUGAAAUUUGUUGUUUUGCUCAUGGGAUUUGGUCCAUGAGGUUUGGUUUUGGCUCAUGGGAUUUGGUCCAUGAAAUUUGGUUUUGGCUCAUGGGAUUUGGUCCAUGAGAUUUGGUUUUGGUUCAUGGGAUUUGGUCCAUGAACUUGGUUUUGGCUCAUGGGAUUUGGUCCAUGAGAUUUGGUUUUGAUUCAUGGAAUUUGGUCCAUGAGGUUUGGUUUUGGCUCAAAUGACGGAAUGCUAACUCACCUUAGGGUCGGUUAUGCGCAACAAUUUCGAUUGCUUCUCGAGGCAAAAUAAAUAAAAAUAAUCCAUAUUUUCUAUUACCUAAAAUAUAUUUUGCCUAUGACGGAAUACUAACUCACCUUAGGGUCGGUUAUGCAUGGCAAUUUCAAUUGCUUCUUGAGGCAAAAUAAAAAAAAAAAAAUACAAAUUUUCUGAAAAAAAAAAGAAAAAAAGGUGGAGGACAUGUUGUCUAAAUUUUUAGAUAAUAUAGGCAAAAUAUGAGCCACCAGCGGACUUGAUUGUCCACAUCGGACUUCAAGGGUAAGAUUGCAAAAAGUCCCCGGCUGUGGUAUAACCCACAGGCAAAAUUGGGAUCCCCGCUGUGAGAAAAUCUUUCGAGACUCACAGGCAAAAGUUAGGGGAAGGUACCUGGUGAAAACCCAUAUGGGCGCCAGAUUACCCAAGAUAUAUUUUGCCUAUGACGGAAUGCUAAUACACAAACUUAAACUGCAAAUUAAGUUCAUAUGCGAACCCAAAUUGCAAAUUAAGUUCAUAUGUGAAUCCAAAUUGCAAAUUAAGUUCAUAUGCGAACCCAAAUUGCAAAUCAAGUUCACCUCCAAACCUAACCAAACCAAGUCCAAAUAAGCAUCCAAACCAAAACCCAAAACCCAAAUAAACCCAAACCAAACCAAGUCCACAUACAAAGCCAAACGGCCCAAACCUAACCAAACCAAGUCCAAAUAAACAUCCAACCCAAAACCAAAAUAAAUCGAAACCAAACCAAGUCCACAAAUAAAAUCCAAACCCAUUCCCCAAAUAAGACCAAAACCCAAACCCAAAUAAAUCCAAACCAAGUCCACACAUAAAACCAGAACCCAAACUCGGACCCAAAUAAAACCAAAUCUCAUGGACCAAAUCCCAUGAGCCAAAAUCAAAACCUCAUGGACCAAAUCCCAUGAGCCAAAACCAAAUUCAUGGACCAAAUCCCAUGAACCAAAACCUCAUGGACCAAAUCUCAUGAACCAAAACCAAACCUCAUGGACCAAAUCCCAUGAGCCAAAACCAAACCUCAUGGACCAAAUCCCAUGAACCAAAACCAAACCUCAUGGACCAAAUCCCAUGAGCCAAAACCAAGUUCAUGAACCAAAUCCCAUGAACCAAAACCAAACCUCAUGGACCAAAUCCCAUGAGCCAAAACCAACUUCAUGGACCAAAUCCCAUGAACCAAAACCAAACCUCAUGGACCAAAUCCCAUGAGCCAAACCACGCGCAUGAGCAGAAAUGUUAAUUAAGAGUAGUUCUAGACCAGUUUUUACAGGAUUGACUUUUUAGUCCGUGGACAUGAUAUAGUUCAUCUGAUAUAUGUCCAUAAUAAGCGCGCAUGAGCCAAAAUGUUAAUUAGGCUAACUCUAAACCAAUUUUUAUUAGAUUAACUUUUUAGUCGGUCAACAUAAUAUAGUUCAUCUGAUGCACAGAAAUGUACAAAUUCUGGACCAGUUUCUACUAUAUAGAUUGAUGGUUUAAAUAACUUAUUAGAAAUAAAAGUGUUACAGGUAAGAUAUGAAAAAGGGAAUCAUCUUUCACACCUCCAAUACAACACACAAAGAGACAAAUUUUGCUUAGUGCGUGCGUACGACCAUCUUUUCUUUUGUUGUUGAAGUCAAUAUUAUCCACACAAUAACCAAAUCACAUAUAUAAUUAAUACAUGCACACUACAACAAAAACGAUAUAUAACGACACUUUUAAAUAUCAGUAUAAGUAAAAAUAAAAGUGCUGCUGGCUAAAUUACCGACACUUUUAAAAAGUGUUGCUAUAUGUGAGGUCGCUAGGUAUAUAGUGACAAUUAAAGAGUGUCGCUAUAAUCUAAAAGAGUGUUGCUAAUUUACCAAUAUUUAUUUAAGCAUCUAGCAACAACCGAAACUCUAUCUCGUUAGCUGCAGUGGCGGAGUAGACUAGAGGAAGGGAUGAGGAGAAGGAGAAAUGGUAAUCGAUUUUUCUUUUCUUUUUCUUUUAUUUUUUUUUUCUGUUUGUAAUCGGACCGAAUGGGCUGGGUGGGGUGGGUUGAGUAGAGUACCCUUUUAUUUUUAGUUGGAUUAGACUUUAUAUUUAGGCAUUAGUACGUUUUUUUUUUUUAAGUUUUGACAUAAAUAUGACACUUACAUAAAAGUGUUCCAAAUAUGUGUUCCUAUAACCUAAUUCUGUUAUAGUGACACUCAUAAUAAUAAAUAAUAAGCACCUAUUAACUAAGUCCAAAUAAAAAAAUAAUAAUAAUUAUGCAAUUAAUAAAAUGAACAAUUAUACCAAUUCUCUAAAAAUUAACUUAUUAAAUACUCAAUUUUCCAGAAUGGGUAUUAUUGAUGUGUUGGCAUAUACAAUAUAAAAUAUUUCGCUCAGUUUAUUUAUAUAAAUUUAAAGUGUUAUAGGAAUUUGGUAAACCCAAAACAAUAUGUAGUAGUUGGCCUUACCAAUUUAUAUAUUGUGGAUGGUGUUCUUUCAAAAGAAUAAAAUAAUAAUAAGAAAAUACUUAUAUAAUAAACAAAAAAAAUUUGGCCAUUAUUUAGAAAAGCAUGUUCUAGUAAUUAAUGCCCCCUCCACCACCACAAGAGAAAAAAAAAAGAAAGAAAAGAAAAGAAAAGAAGAAGAAGAAGAAGAAGAAGAAGAAGAAGAAUUAAAAUUGUUUGUACACUAAACCAAAAUCUUUAAUGCAUUAUCUUAUCUUAUCUUUUUUACCCAAAAACACUUGGUUAGAAUUCGAGUUCUAGUUGGGAGGACUCAAAAUUUUUCGAUUCGCAUGCAAUAUAUAAUUAAUAAUAAUAAUAAAAAAAAACAAAUAAGAAAUCUAAAAGAUCAGAGAUGAAAUUAAGUAGUAAUUAGAACAUACCAUAUUGCGAAAUCCAUUUGGGAUAGUGAGGCAAAAUCCUUGUGGUGAAAUCAUGUGAGUGUAUGUCCAACACAAUCCCCUGAGCUUCUCUUUUCAUUCUCUUGAUCUCCUCAGUUGAUCCUACCCAUAGCUUGUACUCGGGCCCCUCGAUCCCUUGAUCCCUAAACUUUUUACUUAUUACGUACGGCCUCCACAGCACAGAUGCCAAUACGCUCCAGAUCCUCGGAAUAAGCACCACAAAAAUAGAUCCCAAUAUCAACCCAACAACAUAAGUUGUAUCCAUUUUUUCCUUUUUUUUCUCUCUUUUUGGUGUUGCUCACCAAAGAAGUGUUGUGUGUAGGAUCAACUUGGUUUAGAGAUGGUGUAGUGGUGUUUAUUUAUGUGGGGUAUUUAUAUUACAAUGGGGAACAUAGAUGCUUGUGUUUUAAUUGAUUGAGUAAUUGACUGAUUGAUUUGUCCUGUUUGCUUUCCUUUUGCUUGGAAAUGAGAUCAUGGGUGAUGUAAGCUAGGGACGAAGCCAGAAUUCAAUCACAAGGGGGGCCAAAAUAUGUACAAAUAAAAAAUUUAGCAGAUAAAUAAAAUUUUAACUACUCAAAUUUUUAAUAAAAAAAUUUAGUGAUUAGAUAAUUAAUAUUAAAAAAUAUUAAAUUUAUUUCUUUAAUUUACACUCGCUUAACUUCUAAUUAUUUUAUUUAUAUUAUUUCAUUCAAAUAAUUUAAGAAUUUUACUAAAUCUAAUAGCAAUUUAGUUAGAAUUUAAUUUUUUAAAAUUUUUAUUAAUAAAAUAAUAACAACCAAUGACUAAUAUUUAACAGAGCUAUUAAAUUUAGCAUACUAUUUUAUUUAGUUAAAUAAAUUAGCUCAUCAAAAUAAUUGGAAAGUUAAGAAUAUAUAAAUAAAAUAUUUAAAGUUGNUAAUUAAAAGGUUCUUAAUAUAUUUUUACCUAUAAAACACAUAAGAAGAGAGAGAGCUUCUAUAUUAGCACUAAAAACUUUUUACAAAAUAGGCCGAUAUAUUUUAAAAAUUAACUAAAAAUAUAUAAACUACUAAAGGACUAUAAAGUAAAUAUUGAAAAGUUGAAAAGGGCCCUGGCUCCUUUGGGUCUAUAUAUGGUCCGUCCUUGUGCGUAAGCCUUGGAGUCUUGGCCCACAAGCCAACAAUUCUUUUCAAAAAAAUUUCACUUUGGUCCCCUAAAUUUAUAAUAUUUUAAUUUUUUUAAUAGCUUACUAGUGGAUUGUUCUCUAAUUUUAAAAAUAUGGGGGGGCCCCCACAUGGCUUGCAAGCCAAAGAAAACUCUGAGGGGGAUAGUGAUGCAUGGGGAUAAACAAAGAGGUUAAUUUGUUUGAACAUUGAACAUUUAUAUGUGUGGUGGGGGGUAUAUGGCAUGUGGAGGUGGUCUACUAAUUAAUUACCAACUAGCACUAAUAAAAAGAUUAAUUAUUGGAAAUUAAUAGUUAAUUAGUACAUGGAAGUAUCUAGAUUAUGAAACAUGCAUGCAACUAUUUUUCUUCGUAAUUAAUUAGUUUGUACUCAGGACCGCAUGCUCUAAUGUCAUACUAAAAAAUCAUAUGAAAGAAUCAUAUAUUGUCACUAUAAUAAAUCUGGUACUUAAGGACACUUUAACUAACAAUUAGCAACGCUUUAAAGCGUCGGCAAGAAUUAAUAACCCUAAGUAAACAUGUCGGAAUAAAUAUAUUGACGCUUCAAUAUAGCAUCGAAAAAUUUUUAGCAGUAUUUGAUAAAAAUAUAUGUUUAUUAGCGACGCUUAAUUAUGAUGUAGGCACACGCCAAAUAUUGAAUAUAUUAGAAUAUAUAUAGUGUUGUCUAAAAAGUAUCGUUUAAAACAUAUAUAUUAAAAGUUUAAACUGGUAGAGAAAUUAAUACUACUUUUAAUGCAUUUAAUCAACAAGGGAAAUGCUUAAUUUGGGUCUCCAAAAAUAUUACUCUUAUAUAUAUACAGCUAUCUAUACCUAUACAUUAUUUUUCCUAAUUUUUUUGCCACGUGGCGAAUUCUCCUUCACUUUUUCUCUUCUCUCAUCUAACUUUUUCAUCCAAUGUUUCAUCUUCCUAAACUCCCAUCUCUCAAUUAAUGUGCUUACAUAAUAUCAUCUCCAUCCAAUGCUUCAUCUUUCUAACCCCCCACCCAAUGCUUCAUCUUCCUAACCCCCCUAUCUCUCAAUUAAUAUGUUUACAUGGUUUCAUCUCCAUUUCUCCUUUUUUUUUUUCAUAUUGUUUUUUUUUUCUCCCCCCUAUCUCUCAAUUAAUAUGUUUACAUGAUUUCAUUUCCAUUUCUUCAUUUUUUUUUUCAUAUUAUUUUUUUUCUUUUUUUUCUUAGCGCACAAAAAGGGCUCAUGUUUUAUAACUUUUUUAAAUUUUUUGUUGUGUGUGGAUUGAAAUUAGGAUUUCAAGGAUCGCGACGGAGCGCUGGAUUUGGAGUCAGUGAGAGAAAGAAGCAGAGGAUGUGGAUACGGGAUUGAUAUGGUUGUGACUAAAGAGGAGCUCGACACUAACGGCGAAGGCGAUAUAAAGAUCGAAAUUUGCCUCUCCGAUGUCGAUAGUGCAAUGAAGAUGUGUGUGGGGUAAAAAAAAUUUUAUUACUUAUUUUAUUAUUAUUACGUGUGAUUUAUUUACCAAAAUUAUAAAUUUUAUUAUAUCUAUACCUAUAUCUAUUUUAUAUUUUAUAUUUGUGUUUAUUUAAGUUCCAUAUCAAAUCAAAAAAUUUAAAAUUUUUAUUUUAUUUAUAUUUUAUAUUCUAUAAUAUCAUUCCGUCGCAAUGCGCGGGUAACUUCACUAGUGUUCAUAAAUACAUGUGAUACCUUGGUGAAUGUGCGUGCAUAAACCAGUCAAAGACAUGCAGCUACAUAAUUAUAUACGUUAGCAUAUAUAUUGACAACAUAUAAUAACCAGCAUGUAAUGCUUUUGUAUCACUCUACGCAUGAAUCAAGAAGGUGUUAUGCAUGUAUAUGACUCUUAAUCCAAAGUAUAUCGAUCUAAUCAAAUUUGCACACCUUGCGAAGAGGGAAAAGGUUAAAUUUUCUUUCUUGCUAAAUGUAAAAUUUUAUAAUUACGGUAUCAAAGCAGCAGAUCUUCUAAUUAAUAAUCUCAUCUAAUUCUCUUCUAUUUGAUAAAUCUCUAUAUAUUAUAUAUUGAAUAAUAUAUAAUAUCAUAUGGCAUCAGAUCAGUCGAUUCUGAACUCUCACCGUCCCGUAAAAUCGUCGCGUUUUGAUACUCACCUUUAAUAUUUAACUAAAUUAAAUGAUAUCAUAGUUUCUAGAAGGCCGAGGAUAUUUGACGUGGUCGAGACCACAGUUAGUUAAUUCGCGUUUAAUACGCGAAUUAAACGGCGAUUUUUUUACAUACGAAUUAAACGGCGAUUUUCGUUUUUUUCCGAAAAAAUCGAAAAAAUACGCGAUUUCUUCCUCAAAAAUCAUUAUUCGCGAAUUAUUCGCGAUUCGCGAAUAAUUCGCCCAAAAACUCGGCGAUCGCGAUUGCGGUCGCGGACUCGCGGCCGAGGGUCGCGUCGUCGCCGGCUCGCCACUUGUGUCGUCGCUGCUCUCGUGGCCGCUCGUGUUGUUGCCGCUCGCAUCGUGGUCGUCCUCCGCCGCUCUCGCGGGCGCCGGGAGCAAGGUCGCGGCAGCGGAUCCCAUCUCCUCGCCCGAUGCCGUUUUGGGAAAGUGGAAGUUAAACAGUAAUUUUUGCGGGGCUUUUGGGAGCAUGGAGAUGCGCAGUCCACGAGGCUAUUUCAGCCUCCUGGACCGCAUGAGGGGGAGGUCCACAGUGGACCUCCGUCUCAUAUAUANUAUAAUUUUUAUUUAUAAAUAUAUAUUCAUUUAUUAUAUAUAUUAUUUUAUUUUUAUAUAUAAAUAUUUAUAUAAUAUUUUAUUUAUAAAUUUAUAAUUAUUUAUUACUAUUUUUAAAUAUAUAAAUUUUAUGUAUUAUUAAUAUAUGUUUAUUAUUAAUAUAGGAAUAUAUUUAAUCUAUAUAUAAAAAUUAUAAUAAUAAUAUAUAUAGUAAAUUAAUAUUUAUAUACUUAUUAUAUAGCCGAAUUUUUGAUCCCGAAUUUUUAAUUGGUGAACGUAUUAUAUCCGUAUAAAUUACAUAUCCGAAUAAUUACCGAACCCGUUUUUUAGCCGUAUUUUUCAACGAAUUUAAAAAUUAAAAAAUAAAUUUUAUCCGAAUUAUAUCCGUACCGAAUUUUUGCCGAAUCCGAAUUAACUAACUACGGUCCAAACUAUGUACGUAGGACGAGCCAGGCAUCAGAGGAAAAGAAAGAUGGUGCACAUAUCAUUGUUUGCACUAAUUAUUACAUUUAUUUAUGUUUAUUUAUUUAUUCCAAAAAAGUGAGUGGCUUCUAGAAGGCUUGUGAUAUUGCUAUUCCAGGUGCGCUCGAUCUCUACUAGAUUCUCUUUUCGUCUUUAUCAUUGUCCUUUUAUUUUGCAUGUGCAUUCACGGAUCAGUGUAAAGGAUAUAUAUUAGUCAUUUACAAGAUAAAGUAAAAAUAUUGUUCCCUAUAAAAUGCAAAAAAAAUUUUAAAUAUCAUCCUUGUUGUUUCGCACUUUCUCACUUUAAUAUCUUAUAAUAUAAAAUAACCGACCGUCCCUAGCGCAAGUGGCAAAAGGACUUGGUAGUUGGUACCCGAGAUCCAAGUUCGAAUUUUAGUUGAUUCACAUUUCCAGCUAAGUUUAUUUCUAAAUGAAAUAAAUGAAGCGGGCAGCAUACUACCUUUCUCUUAAAAAAAAAAAAUCUUAUAAUAUAUAUAAAGUAUAUCAAUUUAGCGUACGUCCUAUGGUUUCAUUUUUCUUUUUUUGUUUGCUCCCCCGUUAAUAUUUUGUUAAAUUAGAUAUAUACCAAAAACUUUAGAUACGCUAUUUAGGUUUAUUGAAUAUUCAUUUUAGUAUAUUUUAGUUUUAACUUUGUCACUAAUUUAACGAAAAAAAAUAGUGGAGAGGAUAAUAAAAACAAAAAAUAAAACCACGAGGUACUAAAAUAAAAAAAGUGGGAGACCAUAGGGUGGUAUUUGAAGUUUUUUCUAUAAUAUAUGUAGCAUAUUUUUGCUUAAUAGUUUAAGUUUGUGGGUUGGAUGUGAGUCUUUUAGAUACAGUGAUACAGGCUUAAACCGCAUUGAGAGGAACGAAGUAUAAGAACAAAAAUAGAGGAAUAUACAAAAAACCAUUUCUGCGACAAAGACGAAAAUAUUAUUAAGCAGCUUUGAAAAUUGAUUACAUGCAUUAAUCGAACGCCAUGUUUGUAUAUAGAGGUGAUACCUGAAUCCUACUAGAAAUGAAAAUAAUAAAUCCUUAUAUAUCUCUAAAUCUAAUCCGAUUAGAAAUAAUCAAAUAAUCGAAUUCAAAUAGGAAAAAAACAAAACUCCGAAAAUAACCUAAUAAAAACGCAAAAGCUGAGGCGAAAACAAGCGAAUUUGGGUCUCAAACUUGGCUGGAACUGCUUUGCCAUUCGACGUGCAGAUUUCGAAAAGUGUUUUCCGAAUUGGGAUUGCACGCUGAAAUCGGAUGCUUAGCGAAAAGUUAUGACUAUUUAAAGAUUUUUUGUAAAAUUCUCGUUUUCCGUUCCAUUUGGUAUGUAUCACGUUUUCCCAAAAACCCUAAUGAUAAAUUGGCCACAUAAUAUAGUAUUAGAACCUGAUUUACACACCUUAAUUUAGGGCCCGCCGAGUAGACGAGUGCUAAUUGCGUUUAACAUGUGGAUUGCAUUUAUAUCAUGGUACAACUAAGUUUAUUUAUAAAUGAAAUAAACGAAACGGAUAGCAUGCUACCUAUAUCUCAAAAAAAAAAAAAUUAUAUCAUGUAUAUAUAUAUAUAGAUAAUAAGAGAGAGAAAACAAGGGAAGAGAAGUAGAGAGAGAGAGAGAGAGAAGAAAGUAUGAGAUCAGAGAAUAGGACUAUAUCGAUAGUGCUUUUGAUGUUUUAACCGUUGAGUGAAAAUGGUAGGGUUGAGUGAUGAUGGUAUUGUGUAGCGUAGAAUAUGUUUGAUUCAAAAAUAUAAAUAAUUGGGAGUAGAUCCAAGAAUUUUCUUAGAACUUAGAAGCACCGAGGAUGUGGUGUUUUUAAAAGUAUUAGCUCAAUAUAUAUAUAUAUAUAUAUAUAUAUAUAUAUAUAUAUAUAUAUAUAUAUAUAUAUGGUUGACGAUUCAUAUGUAGGCUAUUGUCUGAUCACAUUGAGUCUGUGCCACAUGUAUGCCAUUAACGUCUAACAGGUGUUAAGGAAGAAUUAAUUAUUAAGAAUAAUAGCCUUAUAUCGAUUACAAAAUAUCAUUUUAGAUCUUUGGAUUUUUCAAAAUAUAAAAAUGGUGCUUUUAGCAAGUCUAUGCUUUUCAGAUUGUAUUGAGUUUCAAAAGAUAUCUCACAUAUUCUUAGUUUUUCGUGUCUUAGCUCUCGACCCAUUUUUCCUAACAAAUACUAGUAUUAAAGCUAGCAAUUUGAAACUUACGGCUGAAACUAAGUUUUUAGUAGUUAAUUAACAACUAUUAAGACUACAUCUGGAUCACAUUUUAUCAGAUUUAUCUUUCAGAUAAUAUAAUAAUAUAAGAGUGAGACAUACUGCCCUCCUUUCUAUUCCAAAAUGCUCUGCAUUCGAUUUCUACAUCUGCUAUAAACUCUUAACACGAUGCCAAUAUUAUAUAAAAUUGAUUGAUCAACUAUAUUUUUAUAAUAUUGGUUGAGUAGUUCUUAGAUUGGUGUUCUUAGAUGAGUCCAUAGAGACUUUUAAAAUGUGGGCUAUUGGUCUUCCUAGGUUGAUCACUACAAUUCUUAAGGUGUUAGUACUAUACUAGUUAUUUUAAUUAUAUAUUUUUAUCUCAAUAAUUAAUUUUUUUUUUUCCCCAUAAGUAACCUUAGUUGACUUUGACAAUGACACUUUCUUAAUUACGUGCAUCCCAAGUUUCUAGAUCCAAUCCCACUAGACAAAGCAAAAGAAACAAUUUGAAUUGAAAGACUCCACUAUAUCUUUAGUACUUUUUUAAUUAGUCAUAUAAAUUUUUAAUUUUGAAAAUUAAACUUUCUGAGUAUGUCUCUAUCAUCAAUCAAAGUUAUUAAUUAUACACGUGUUUUUUUGACUUAUCCUACUCUUAAAUCUCGGUAUUUGUAUAAUUACCAUAAUUCGAAGAGAAAACAAUGGUAUUUUUCUUUGUAUUUUAAAGUUUUGCAAAAUUAUAUACAAUUCAAGCGGCUAAAACGGCUAUAUAAUUAGUAACUUCGUUUGAGCACAAAGACUUAUUGAGCUAUUGAUAAAGUUCUGAGAGCCAAAUCGGCCAAGUUAAAUGUUUAGACGUCUAUAUGCAAAACAAAAUAAAAAAGCUAAAAUUCAAGGGCGCUUAAUUUUGUAUUUUUUUUUUUUCAAAAUUUAAUUAGGUCGAGGUCAUGUUUAAAAGUCAGAAUAAGUUACACAAGUAUAACUUAAUUAGCUAUAUAAAAUUAUCAAAUGUGAUUGUAAGAAAAAUAAAUAAUUGGGAUAACUUCAAAAACCCUCCGUGGUUUCGCAUUUUCUCACUUUAGUACCCUAUGGUUUAAAAUAUAUCAAUUUGCCCUCCCGUGGUUUGGUUUUUCUCUUUUUAUUAUCAAUUUUAUUAUUAUUUUUUCUUAAAUCAGUGACAAAGUUAAAAUUAAAGGGUACUAAAGUAAAUAUUCGAUAAAUCUAGGUGGGUAUCUGAAGUUUUUUACAUAUAAUUUAAUAAAAUAUUAAGAAAAAAAGCUACCGAAAAGAUAAAAAUAAAACCAUAAGAGGGCAAAUUGAUACACUUUAAACCAUAAGGUUCUAAAGUGAGAAAGUGUGAAACCACGGGGGAUUUUUUGAAGUUUUUUCUAAAUAAUUUUAACAACUUGAAAGAUUUUGAUAUUCAUGAUUUGGUCGGAGAAUAUAUAUAUAUAUAUAUAUUUCUCUUAGGAGGAAAAUUAUAUUAUCGGAAACNAUUCAUGAUUUGGUCGGAGAAUAUAUAUAUAUAUAUAUAUUUCUCUUAGGAGGAAAAUUAUAUUAUCGGAAACAAUGACUUGAAGGCUGAAUAUAAUAUUCAGUUCUAAAUAUUUGAUCACUCUUCUCAUCUACCCAAUUUACAAGCUUCUCAAAUAAAUCAUGAAGAUAUACCAAGUAAAAUAUUUAUACAUCCAAACACGGCCUAAAUAAAAAAGAUAUUAGAUAUAAUAUUUUAAAUAAUCUCUCUUUGGCAUAUCUUUCAGUAUCUUUUAAUGUUCUCCGACUUAAUAUUGUCCAGACGUCUUGGUUCUAUCAAAUAACCUCGAGUACAAACAUGAGAGGGAGUAUUGAAUACUGAGAAUACCUGUUGUUUCAAAAUUAAAAAGCCCUCCAUGCAUUUUUCUUGUUGUAAUUUGGGAUUGAUGAAGAAAAAUAAAAGGGUAGAGGCCGGAUAUUAAUUGAUACAAUUUGUAAGGGGUAGGGGGUUCUUUUAUAAUUUAUUCUAUAACAACAAUAGUAAAAAAAUUCAGCUACUGUCCUUUUGGGAGAACAAUGAUUCUACUUUUUAAAAUCAGAAAACUGAUUUUGAAAGCUCCAUAAUCACAAGCAGGAAAAAGCUGCUUUUCCAAAACUGAUUCUGAUUUUGAACUCAAACUUCUAAUUUUUAUUUUAUUUUAGAUUCAAAGUAUAAAUUUAACAUUAAAUUUAAAUUUUGAAAUUUUAAAUUCAUAUUUGAAUUUUUAAAUCUCAACUUUUCAAAUUUAAAAUUUAACAAUAAAAUUUUAAAAUUAAGUUUAAACUCAAUUCAAAUUAAAUUAAUUUAAAUUAAUUUCAAAUUAAUUAAAUUCAAAAUUCAAAUUCAAAAUUUAAAUUUCAAAACAAAAUUUAAAUUUCAAAUUUAAAUGUUAAAUGUACUUUUAAAUUGAAACAUUCAAACUUCAAACAUUACAAAUUGAAUCAAAUUUAACAUUCAAAUUAAAUUAAAAUUCAACAUUUAAUUAAAACCUGAAUUUAAAAUUAAAUGUUAAUUUUCAAAAUUUUAAAUUUUAAUAAUUGAAAAAUUUGAAUAAUUUAAUUAGCAUUUGAAAAUUUAAAUUUAAAUUUGAAAUUUUAAAUUUGAAUUUAAAUUUGAAAAUUUAAAUUAAAUUUUAAAAUUCAGAUUAAAUUUAAAAUUUAACUUCAAAAUUUAUUUGUACCAAUUGAAAUCUAAAAACUUAUACUUUUAAAUUAAAUUUAAUUUUUAUAAUUUAAAUCAAAUUUAAAUUAUUUAAAAUAAAGUUAUAAAAAUAUUAAUAACUUCACAACAUAAAAAUUUUUGCUGCGAAACUAGCUUUCAAGAAAAUUACCUGUCAUAAAAUCAAUUUUUCUAAACAACCAAACGCUCAUAAGCUUUCACCCAAAAAUCAUUUCUCAAACCCAAAAUCACUUUACGACGAAAUCACUUACCAGAACUAGUCACAAACAUGCCCUACAGUCAUAUUAGAUAAUAGGGACUGAAUCGAUAUCUCGCUAUUGUAAAAAUUAAUUCUAUGAACAUUUAAAGUAUGAUAGAAACAAAUUUCAAUAAAUUUUGAAAAAUUAUUUAAGUAGACAGGAUGAAAUGAUCCACAAAAUCGACUAGUUUAACGGCUAUUAGCCGUUUGACUUGUUAAAGGUGUAAGUCAACCAACAUUUACUGAAUUUUGAUAAAAAAAAAAUUUAUACUAUUUAAAUAAUAUUUGCAAUUUCACCUACAAAAGUUUAACAUUCUAUUUUUACAAGAUUUUGCAUUUUGCCUAUUUAUUUUCUUGACGUACUCUUAAAUUAACUUGAGAACAGAAGCUCAAUGUUGCAAUCUACUUAACUUUUCUUGUGCUCAUUUCGUACAAGAAACUAAUCCUAAAGUUGCCUCUUACCGACAUCAGGUACUCUCUCAUACCUCUCUUAUUCCUAGACUUUAUUAACAUCCUUUCGUGGAGGGGAGAAAAGUAUUUUCAAAUAAGAAUUUUCAUACAUGUCUAUAAUAAAUGAGCUGAAAAAAUAUCGCUACAAACUCAACUUUUAUCAUGUCUUUAUGCAACAAGUCCUAAAGUUAUUCAAAUAUCAUCUAUCUGUUACCUACAAUUAGAAAAAGACAAUGUAGAAACCGUUUUAUAUAUUUCAAUUUUGUCAUCACACACAAUAUAAUCUCUAUCCAAACAUAUAACUAUAAUAAACAGAGAUAAAAAUGUCAAAAACUAAUAAUAUUAACAUAUGCGAUUAACCUAACCGUUAUCAUAAUGGAUCUAACACGGCAAACGAAACAUUCUUGUAAAUGUUAAACUUUUGCAAGGAAAAAUAUAUGAAUUUGAACCUUUGUAGGAAAUAUAUUGUUAUGAUCACUAUAUUGUGGACAUAUAUGAAAUAACAACUCUUAAUAAAAAACUCCCCAUUUCCAUAGUUGGUCAACGCGAGACUAUGAAUAAUUAUGUCCAAUUAAGUUAAUUAGUUACAGAUAUCCAAAAUUUUACUAGAAUUUGAAUUCGAAUGGAAUCGAUAAUACAAAAUUAUGCUAUCAUAAACAACAGAAACGAUCAAUCUAUAUUUAUAUAUAUAUAUAUACUAUAAGUAAUAUAUAUAUAUAACUAAUAAUAAUAUAUAAUAUAGUAGUUGGAGGACUGGGCCUACUAUUAGUCAUGAAAUUACACAUUAUUCUUGCCACACGUAUCAUUACUUCUCUUUCCUUAACCUCAACCCAAGAGGAAUCCGAUUAUGUUCUACUAGUUUUUUAGAACUUUUAUACAAACUUCUUUUCAUCUAUUUUGCUCUAAAUACUCAUUAAUGAUUAAAUACUAUAACCCAAGGAGGCUGAUACACCACAUCAACCCUAGUGGAGACCACUAUGCAACUCUAAAUCGAUUAACUAUCAUCCUAAACCCUAUAAAUUUUUUUCCAGGUCAACCAAAUAUCAGUUAAAAACAUGAUACAAAGACGGUUUAACAUUAUUAGAUGCGCCCAAAUCUAAUUCAUAUCAUAUAUUAUUAAAUUGAUAAUAGUUUAUACUAACUACUAUAUCUAACUAUAUAUUAUAUAGAAGAAGAGAAUCAGAGAAGUAGACGAAAAGAGAAUUAGAGAGAGAGAGAGAGGCAAUCUACUAUCCUAGUCUAUCAGCUUACCCGGUAGCCCGAUANNNNNNNNNNNNNNNNNNNNNNNNNUUAUACUUUUAAUUAAAUUUAAUUUUUUAAUUUAAAUUCAAAUUUUAAAUUAUUUUAAAAAUAAAGUUUAGUAAAAAUAUUAAUAUAUGCAAACAUCAAAAAUUUUUUGCCAAACAGCUUUAGAAAAUUACUUCAGAAAAUCAAUUUUUCUAAAUUCAACCAAACGCUCUAUAGCUUUCACCAAAAUCAAUUCUCCAAACCAAAAUCACUUUUACAGAAAUCACUUCUCCAGAAGCUAGGCCAAACAGGCCCUAAGUCAUUUUAGAUAAUAGGGAUUCUGAAUCGAUGAUCGGUACCGUUAAAAUUAAUCUAGAACAUUUAAAGUAUGAAGAAACUAAAUUUCAUAAAUUUUGAAAAUUAUUUAAGUAGCGAUGAAAUGAUCACAAAAUCGAUAGUUUUUAACGGCCUAUGUAAGCCGUUUGCUUGUUAAAGGUGUAGAGCAACCCAAACAACUUGAAUUUUUGAUAAAAAAAAAAUUUUAUACUAUUUAGAUAAUAUUUGAUAAUUUCAAUCAUGAAUUAAAAAAGUUUAACAUCUAUUUUUACAAGAUUAUUCAUUUUUGGCUAUUUAUUUCUUGACGUACUCUUCAAUUAAACUUGAUAACGAAGUUCAAAAUGUUGCACUACUAACUUUUCUUGGUUUCAUUUCGUACAAGGCAAAACUAUUCCUUAAUUGCCUCUUACCAAUCAUGUCUCUCUACCUCUCUUAAUUCCUAGUUUUAUUAAAAGUCUCUUUCUUGGAGGGGAGAAAAGUAUUUUAAAAAAUGAAUUAAUUUCAUACAUGUCCCUAUAAAUACAGUGAUUGAAAAAUAUAUCCCUACAAAGCUCAACUUUUAUAUGUUCUUCAUGCAAAAGUCCUAAUGUUUUCAAAUAUGUCAUUCUGAUUUGUUACCGUUAGAAAACAAUUAGAGAACCGUUUAUAUUUUCAACUUUGUCAUCACAAAUAUAUCCCUCCAAAAACUAUACUAGUAUAAUAUAAAGAGAUAAAAAUGUCAAAAACUAUUAAGUAUUUAACAUAUGGUUAACUAACGUUUUCUAAUGGAUUCUAACGGCAGAAACAUGUUUGAAAAUGUUAGAACUUUUGCAGGAAAAAUAUAUGAAUGUUGAACUUUGUAGAAAUAUAUUUGUUAUUCACUAUAUUUGUUGGGACAUAUAUGAAAUUAACCCUUAAAAAAAAGACUCCCAUUUUCCAUAGUUGGUCGACGCGGACUAGGAAUUAAUUAUGUCAAUUAAUUAAUUAGUACAGAUAUCCAAAAUUUUACAAAAUUUGAAUUCGAAUGGAAUGGAUAUAAAAUGAUGCUAAUUAAACAACAGAAAUGAUAUAUAUAUAUAUAUUAUAUAUUAUAUAAAUAUAAUAUAUAUUAUAAUAUAUAUUAAUAUAUAUUAAUAUAAUUGGACUGGGCUAAGCUAUUAGUAGCAAAAUCCAUAUUGCCUACCAUUUUUUAGGCGCCUUUGAUCACUCUUUUCAUUAUUUCUAACCAUUUGGAUUAAAUAACUUAACCCAGUGAGACACUCAAACCUAGGGACCACUCAAUCUAACCGAUUAAUAUCAUCCUAACAUCUAUAAAAUUUUCAUCCAAUAGGCUAAAACUUAUAGCUAAGAGGGUUUUACUAUAUUAGUAUUCCAAUUCUAAUUCAUUUAUAUAUAUAUAUAUAUAUAGAUCUAUAUAUAUAUAUAUAGUUAGAGAGAGAGAGAUGAGAGACGAGGAGAGAGAGAGAGAGAGAGAGAGAGG
rnacentral:lncRNA from 1 species